GUGUGAAUAACAAAGCAUGAGUCAAUGUUUCUUUAAUUUUGUGGUUAAGCAUAAGUAAUUCAAAGUUCUAUAGGGUAGCAAUCCCUUCCCCUACUGUUUGCUCAUGUACAGACUUUUGAGGCUGUUGUUUAUGAUAAAUGGGGUGUCAUAUUAUUUUUUCAGUAGGCAUGAUAGCAUGUUUAGAUGUUGACAGUGUAGCUAAAUGAAAGUCAUGAAAUCUCAACACAAGCUCUCAUUUAAUAUUAACCAUCUCUCAUGUCCCAAAGUGUGUUAAGUAAACUAGUGCCAAAUAAUGAAUUGAGUAGCUUUCCUUUGGGUUUGUUUGAGUCUCAUCAUCAGUCCUGUAGGAUGGAAUCUUUGAUAUAUUUUUAGUUCAGUUGAGCCUUAAUGUAUUUCAUCUUCUACAUAACCUGUCUUCAAGUUUUGAGGUAGUUCUCCACCAUUUUGAACUUAACAAAUCCUUAAAGAAUGUUGUAACCCCUUUUGUUUAGUUUCUGCCACUAUUUGAGGAAUACUUAUGUGCUUUUUCUUCCCAAUUUGUUCUUAUGUGAUAUUGCAUGCCUAUCUCUGAUUGAGAUGGUUCCAUUUAGGAAAGCGUGCACCUUUUAAGUUACCAAAGCAUUUUACCCAGUUGUUUUGACCUUAGAAUAGGAAAAGUGUUAAAUAAAACAGAGGGUGUCCAUGUGAACUUGUGUCAAGAAUCUGCUGUUCUGUUUGUGCUGGAUAAAUGAAGAAGUGGCUUUAACUUAUUGUGUCUUUUCUUGCUUUCAUCACCUAUCUAAAUGUGCUUAAAAUCUGUAAUAUCCUUAACAUGUUAGAACUAUGUAAUGAGCUUGUUAAACCAAAAGUAGGAGAAGAGUUAAGACAUAGCUAGUGUGCAGAAUUAUUAACUUGUUCGAAACCGGAAAGUAUCCAAACUUGCUGUUUUGAUUCCUUAAAAUUUAGUCUUUAAGCUUACCUUUUCUCUUAAAAAGCACUGAGUUGUUUUCUCUAUCUGUACUCCCUGAUGAUUACCGAAAAUGAUUGUCUGUUAAGUACUCUUUCAAGUUAGUAGCCUGUCAGAACGUGUAGUUUCUUGUUACUCAUUCUUCACCUUUUCCUUUCUUUGCAUGAUUUGGGAGUUGCAAAUCCCAACUGUCUUCGAGGCAUUUUCAUGAACUGGCUGCUGCAUUUGCAAAAGCUGCUGUUUGUAUUGUGAAGUCCUUUUUUGGGAUUAAAUUGAUGUUGCUGCCACUGAUGCAUUUUGAGACUCGUGUUGCUGCACUCUUGAGGGGUUUUCAAAGUGCUUUACUUUGAUAAAAGGAGUUGCUACCUUGCUAUUGUGUUUGCUGCUUUGCUAAUGCAUUUUUAAGCUAAUACAUUUUUAAGAACUGAUUGUGCUGAAUAAAUGGCAAAACUGUUGGCACAUUAAAGUCUGUCUAUUCCCUAAGUGUUUGAUCAAGAUAGGGAUUUUUGAAAUGGGGAAUAUGUAGUCCUUCAUGGUCUAACCUUUGUUUCUGAAAACAUGUAGAAGGAUUAUCAUUUUCCUUGUCUCUGAACUGUCUUAUAAAAAAUACUGAAAAAAUAAAGGGUGAUUUGAGUCUGCAUGGUUGGGACAAUAGGUGCAAGUGUUGUGUGUUUGAUUUUUUGGGGUUUCUCUGAGAGUUCCUUAAAGGCUAUGGGCUUAUAGAGUUAAGAAUCUGAUUUGGUUAUUUCCUUGGAGGUAACAAGAUUUGGUAUAAGCAUUUUCCUUUUGCAUUUAGUAAACAAAUUUAAAAGCUCUCCUAGUUGCAGAAGACCAAUUGUGUUUGUAUAAUUUCACCUUGAAUGUUGGUAGAAACUGUUAGCAUGGGGCUUGAAAGGAUAAAACAUAUAUCUUGUUCAAAAGUUUGUUUCUCUAAGAAACUGCCUCUUUGUGUGUUUACUUGUGAUGAUAUCCAAGUCCUGAUCAAAGUAGGUCUGCAUUGUCUUUCUUACUCAAAACCUCUUUCCAUCACCCUGCCUGCUGAAAGCCAAGGCAACAGAGGGAUUGGUUUAGCCUCCUCCGAUAUCCUGCCAUGCCAAGGUUCUAACCUUUGGAUCUUGUUGUGGCAUUGGAAAUAGAUGGUGGUGGCCCCCCUUUGUUGUCUUAUCUUUCAAAGUUGAUGUUAGGCUUAAUGUUUAUGAUCAGUUUUUAUGCUUGCUUUCUCUUAAAAGUACUGAGUUGCUUGGUAUCUUUACUGCCUGUUGACUACUACAAACGAUUUAAUACUAAGUGUUCUUUUAAGUUGAUUAGCCUGCAUGCAUAUAUAGUUCUUGAUGCUCAUCCUUUGCCCCUCCCUUUUCUUUGCAUGACAUGGGGGAGUUUACAUCCCAAACUUCUUGACUUGCUUGGCUGCAAUGCUUGAUGAGCUUACUGCCCUGGCUUGUGGAUUGUUGCUGAAUUAAAAUGAACAGAUAUCACUACUUGAAUUGCUGUCUUAAAACAGUUGCUGCAUUUGAGACAUAUUUGAUAUUUUGAAGUUAGAAUGCUCGGCAAGCGAAAAACGAGGAAAUCAAGUGUUCUGAUCUGAAUUGCACAAAGGACGGACCGUCAACAUGCUCGACGGUCCGUCAAGUUAUCUCGUCGAUCAAGUUCCUGCAGAGUGAAAUAUGUCAUCAGACCGUCGACUUGCACCGUCGACAUGAUCGACGGUCCGUCGAAGUGCCUCGACUAUGGGAGUCCUGCAAAUUGAAAAGUUGUCAUCAGAUACUUGCACGUCGACAUGUCGACGACCGUCAAAGUGCAAUGACGACCCGUCAAAGUGCAAGCCGACCUGGAGCAGGAUUGAGAUUGAUUAUUCUGAGUUUUAACUUGUAUAAAUACCAGCUUAGGUUUUAUUUUUCAGACAUCUGGAGUUUUAGACUUGUAGUAACUACUUUUGAGUUGUUAUUACUUUUGAAGAUUUUCCAGACAAAUACAUUCAUUACUUUCAAGUUUAUUCGUAAGUUCAAUACAAAAUUCAAUUAUGCAA